rnacentral:rRNA from 1 species
UAGGGAAUAUUGGACAAUGGGGGCAACCCUGAUCCAGCCAUGCCGCGUGAGUGAAGAAGGCCCUCGGGUUGUAAAGCUCUUUUGUCCGGAAAGAAAAGCUUCGGGUUAAUACCCCGGGGUUCUGACGGUACCAGAGGAAUAAGCACCGGCUAACUCCGUGCCAGCAGCCGCGGUAAUACGGAGGGUGCGAGCGUUAUCCGGAGUUCCUGGGAUUAAAGGGUGCGUAGGUGGGCUUAUAAGUCAGUGGUGAAAUCUCCGAGCUUAACUUGGAAACUGCCGUUGAUACUAUAGGUCUUGAAUUAUCUGGAGGUAAGCGGAAUAUGUCAUGUAGCGGUGAAAUGCUUAGAUAUGACAUAGAACACCAAUUGCGAAGGCAGCUUACUACAUAUAAAUUGACGCUGAGGCACUAAAGCG